rnacentral:rRNA from 1 species
ACAGAGGUCCCAAGCGUUGUUCGGAUUUAUUGGGCGUAAAGGGUGCGUAGGCGGCGGAGUAAGUUGGGUGUGAAAUCCCGGGGCUCAACCUCGGAAUUGCAUUCAAUACUGCUUCGCUCGAGUACUGGAGAGGAGACUGGAAUUUACGGUGUAGCAGUGAAAUGCGUAGAUAUCGUAAGGAAGGCCGGUGGCGAAAGCGAGUCUCUGGACAGUUACUGACGCUGAUGCACGAAGGCCAGGGGAGCAAACGGGA